rnacentral:rRNA from 1 species
UACGGAGGUGCAAGCGUUAAUCGGAAUUACUGGGCGUAAAGCGCACGCAGGCGGUUGGAUAAGUUAGAUGUGAAAGCCCCGGGCUCAACCUGGGAAUUGCAUUUAAAACUGUCCAGCUAGAGUCUUGUAGAGGGGUAGGAAUUCCAGGUGUAGCGGUGAAAUAGCGUAGAGAUCUGGAGGAAUACCGGUGGCGAAGGCGGCCCCCUCGGACAAAGACUGACGCUCAGGUGCGAAAGCGUGGGGAGCAAACAGG